CGGGUCAAGAUUAGAUGAUUACUGCAAGACAGACAUGCACACCAACUUAUCAUAGCAUAAACCAAAUACAGUGGCUCCAUUGCUAAAAGUAUAUAAGAAACAGACAAGACCCUAAAUAUUAACCAUUGAUCAAUCAAGUUGCGAUCAAGAUACGAUGAAACAUGCCAGUCGGACAGGUUCUCCUCACACUAAUUCUAUGCACUAACUAUGAAAGUUGACCCCGAAAAUUCUACUUUGAUAGCUUGUCCAUGAAAUGGAGUCGAAUUACAAUAUUGCAUGACCUUUAGAUGAUACUGUGUAGUACAAAUUGAUAUUCUAUUACACAUUGUAAGUGAAUUUCAUAGCACAGGACAAAAAAAAACAUAAACAUUUGUUUUAUUCAAACAGUCGCUAAACAAUAUAAUGAUUGAUUAAUGUUAAACACCACUUUCAGCACUUUUUUUUUUAUAUCUGGGCGUCACUGUUGAUUUUUGUAUUGACAAGGCGCGUUUUUGGCGUAUUGAAUUUUAAACCUGAUGCUUUUUGUUAUCUAUUAAUCAUGUUUUUCUUUGUCUAAUAUGUUCUCCUAUUUAUUUGUAUUGUAGUCCUGUAAUAUUAUGUUGUCAUCUCAAUGUUAUAUUUAACUUUGCCAUUAAAGUGCGAGGUUUGGCAUGCCACAAAACCAGGUUCAACCCACCACUUUUAUUCCCCCUUUAAAAGUGUCCUGUACCAAGUCAGGAAGAUGGCCAUUGUUAUAUUAUUGUUCGUUUAUGUGUGUGUUGCAUUUUAACGUUGAGUCGUUUGUGUUUUCUCUUAUUUUUGAGAUAUUGAGAUAAGACGUGGCACGGUACUUGUCUAUCCCAAAUUCAUGUAUUUGGUUUUCAUGUCAUAUUUGUUAUUCUCGUGGUGUUUUGUCUGAUGCUUGGUCCGUUUCUGUGUGUGUCACGUUUCGGUGUUAUGUCGUUGUUCUCCUCUUAUAUUUAAUGCGUUUCCCUCGGUUUUAGUUUGAUACCCCGAUUUUGUUUUUUGUCCCUGGAUUUAUGAGUUUUGAACAGCGGUAUACUACUGUUGCCUUUAUUUUUGUCAGUUUUUAUUUGUGGAGGAUACCACUUUAUCCAGAAAAAAACAACUAUCUUUCGGGAGAAAAACUGACACAACUAUUUAAUUAAGUUUGGUGUCAAGCGCACCUGCCUCGUUCAGGAUUGGAACUUUAGUCUUGACAAGCUACUAAUACAGUAGUGUGACUGCCCAUACAACAUUUUUCGUUACUGAAAAAUUAAAUAAGAACUAGAACAAU
rnacentral:lncRNA from 1 species